AUUGAACGCUGGCGGAAUGCUUUACACAUGCAAGUCGAGCGGCAGCACGGGGGCAACCCUGGUGGCGAGCGGCGAACGGGUGAGUAAUACAUCGGAACAUGCCCAGUCGUGGGGGAUAACACUUCGAAAGAAGUGCUAAUACCGCAUACGUCCUGAGGGGGAAAGCGGGGGAUCGCAAGACCUCGCGCGAUUGGAGUGGCCGAUGUCAGAUUAGCUAGUUGGUGGGGUAAAGGCCUACCAAGGCAACGAUCUGUAGCUGGUCUGAGAGGAUGAUCAGCCACACUGGGACUGAGACACGGCCCAGACUCCUACGGGAGGCAGCAGUGGGGAAUUUUGGACAAAGGGGGCAACUCUGAUCCAGCCAUUCCGCGUGAGUGAAGAAGGCCUUCGGGUUGUAAAGCUCUUUCGGCAGGAACGAAACGGUGAGCUCUAACAUAGCUUGCUAAUGACGGUACCUGAAGAAGAAGCACCGGCUAACUACGUG
rnacentral:rRNA from 1 species